AUGCCGUGAUGUGGGCAUGCUUGAAUGUAUUCCUGGAGACGUUCCCAGACUUCCGGAAUGCUCUCAUCCGGUAAUUGUUGAAUUCCGGUGAUCCUAUUCCGGAGGGC